rnacentral:rRNA from 1 species
GAUGAACGCUGGCGGCGUGCCUAAUACAUGCAAGUCGAGCGAACAGACGAGGAGCUUGCUUCUCUGACGUUAGCGGCGGACGGGUGAGUAACACGUGGAUAACCUACCUAUUAGACUGGGAUAACUUCGGGAAACCGGAGCUAAUACCGGAUAAUAUAUUGAACCGCAUGGUUCAAUAGUGAAAGACGGUUUUGCUGUCACUUAUAGAUGGAUCCGCGCCGCAUUAGCUAGUUGGUAAGGUAACGGCUUACCAAGGCAACGAUGCGUAGCCGACCUGAGAGGGUGAUCGGCCACACUGGAACUGAGACACGGUCCAGACUCCUACGGGAGGCAGCAGUAGGGAAUCUUCCGCAAUGGGCGAAAGCCUGACGGAGCAACGCCGCGUGAGUGAUGAAGGUCUUCGGAUCGUAAAACUCUGUUAUUAGGGAAGAACAAAUGUGUAAGUAACUAUGCACGUCUUGACGGUACCUAAUCAGAAAGCCACGGCUAACUACGUG